rnacentral:snoRNA from 1 species
AAUUGUAUGAUGAAUGUUCUAUUUCUGAAGAGUCGAGUGCCUGGUCUUCGGGCCUGGCAUUCUUUUCCUGUAGAAAGAAUAAGAACGGCCAACUGAUAAA